CCUGGCGGACACUCACCCACAUCAGCUGCUUCCGGAGCCUCUGGAUGGCCCUCGCAUUGGCGUGGGACUGGGAGACGCACACGGUCAGGACAAGGCUUUGGACAGAUGGGGAUUCAAGGUGGGACCACCCCAUCUCCUCCUACAGUUCUGGCCAGGAUUAAGUGAAUGUAUGUCAGUCGCCUGGUACCUCCUUGUUGUCCUGCGAAUACUUGGUGGCCCAGAAGAUGGCACUGAUGGCCCCGACCACCAGGAGCCCAAUGAGGAUGUUGACCCGCAGAAGUCCCAGGAGGAGAAGACCUUGGCACUGAGAGGGGCCAGGGCCUUCCUGAUGACCUGGGAGUGCCAUGCCAAGGGAGGGUGAUCAGGGAAGACCCCCUGGGAGGAGGCAGAGGCGUGGGGCACCCCCUCUCACCGCCGGAGAGUCCCACAGAAGCAGAG